rnacentral:rRNA from 1 species
AAUUAAUAAAAUUUAAUUAAUAAUGAUUAAAUUAGUAAAUAAAAAUUAAUAAGGUAGGUAAUAUUUAAGGUUAAUAAAAGGAAUUCGGCAAAUUAAAAUUUUUCGCCUGUUUAUUAAAAACAUGUCUUUUUGAUUAUAAUUUAAAGUCUAAUCUGCUCAAUGAUUAAUUAAAUAGCCGCAGUAUUUUGACUGUGCAAAGGUAGCAUGAUAAUUAGUUUAUUAAUUGUAAACUUGUAUGAAUGAUUGGACGAGAAAAUUUCUGUCUCUUUUUAAUUUUUUAUUUAAUUUUACUUUUAAGUUAAAAGGCUUAAAUUAUUAUGAAAGACGAGAAGACCCCAUAGAGUUUUAUUUUUAAUAUUAUUUAGAAUAAAAAAUUAAUAAUUAUAAAAAUUGGUUGGGGUGACUUAAAGAUUAAAUUAACUCUUUAAAUUAGAAUCAUAGAUUAAUGAAUUUAUAAUCUGAAAAUUUUCAAUUUUAAAUUAAGUUACCUUGGGGAUAACAGCGUAAUUUCUUUUAGAGUUCUUAUCAAAAGAGAAGGUUGCGACCUCGAUGUUGGAUUAAAGAAAAAAUAAGGUGCAGUAGUCUUAUAUUUAAGUCUGUUCGACUUUUAAAACUUUACAUGAUCUGAGUUUAAACCGGUGUAAGCCAGGUUGGUUUCUAUCUUUAUAAAUAAAUUGAUUUAUUAGUACGAAAGGACCAUGAAUUAUGUAUUUUACUUAAUUUAAUGAAUGAUAUU